UACAACCCAAAACCAAAUAAUAAUAUUAAUAAGACAAAACUUAUAAAGAUAUAAAUCGGCUACUUAUUGCAAUUAAAAGAAACAGAAACAGUAGUGUGGCCAUCUCCGAGUCCCUCGUAGCUCUAAACCAUCUAAGCUUAGGGAUUACCUGCACAGUUAGAAACGGGGUUAGUUUACGAAAACUCAGUGUGUAAUCCCAAUAACAAACAAACAGUGAAAACACAGUAUCAGUACAAUCUGGGCCAAAGCCCUAUUUAGUCUUGACAUAUACUGGGCCUAAGCCUUUCGUUUAACGGUUACUGGACCAAAGCCUUUUCAUAAAUCAUAUCACUGGGCCGAAGCCUUUUAAUAAAUCAUAUCACUCGGCCGAAGCCUUUACUGUAAACGGUAUGGCCCUUAGGCCCAUUUCAAUAUCACAUGUAAUGUCAAUGGAUGUAUGCAAGCCCAUUUCAAUAUCACAUGAAAUACCAAUGAAUGUAUGCAAGCCCAUUUGGGGAGACUACUCGACCCACCAUCCGCUACUCUCCACUCGUACCAACCAAGCUCUCUAUGUGAGGAAUAACUCAACCCACCCAACCAAACUCUCCAUUGGCAGCAUAGCUGCUUUAUCAUAUAAAUGGAGGCCUAGCCUCUUUUAAUAACUUAGGCAAAGCCCUUUCUGAUAAACUGGGGCAGAGCCCUUUUCGGUAAAUUGGGGCAGAGCCCUUUUAGCACUUCCUCCAUCAAUAUAACCUAUAUCCCAUGCAAUAUGUCAUGUAUGCAGAAUGUCAUGCCCAUAUCUGAAUCAAACAAUCACAGUCAAGUCACUCAUAUCACCAACAUAUAUUCACAAUCAAAUCCGUCAACCACACAGUUCAAGUUAGUCACUUACCCACAAGGGCAAAACAGUCAUUUUCAUAUUAUAAGGGUAUUUUUGUAAUUUUACCAAAUAUCAGGGUUUUCCAUGUUCAUUACAAUUGUCAAUAUUUCUGAGUGUUUAAACAAUAAUCUUUAACCCACUUUAUCAAAUUCAGGCUUUUGGGCCCAAAACCCCUAAUGGGCCCUACGAAUGCUGAUUUAGCCUACUUAACCCAAAUUUUACAACAAUACUAACCGUGUUAACGUGCAACUUUUCCAAAUUCCAUUUUUUAUCGAUUUUACCCAAAUGGGCCCAAAGCCCAUUUGGGCCCAAUUCCAGCCCAUUGAGGCCCAACUUACCAUUGUGCACAAAAUUGAGUUCUUACCUGUUCCAUUGAUCCAAACACCGAUCUUAUCGUAUUUAUCACAUCUAUACCCAAACGCAACAUUACAAGUUCCCAAAAUACCAGCAUUUUAGCAUUUCGGCUUCUCAGCAAAUAUUAAUCUAAGCUAUUACGAGGGUUAGUACACACCUGUUACGGGUUGAAGUUGAAACAUUUCCAUAAUCAAUCACCUACGAUAACCACCACCUGUCACUCAAACUUAACUAUUCCAAUAUCAAUAUAUGUAAAUCCUAAGCACAUCAGUUAUACGGAACAUAAGGGCGUAUUCAUCAUUUUACCAUACAAGGGUAUUACGGUCACUUUACCCUACAGGGGCUUUACAAUCUUUUUACCUAUUAGGGGUAUUUUAGUCAUUUCAUCCUACAAGGGUGUUUUGGUAAAUCUACAAACCAAGGGUAUUUCAGUAAUUUUGUAAACCAAUAGUAUUCCUAUAAUUUUUAAAAAAGUCAAGGGUAUUUCUGUAAUUUUGUAAAUCAGGGGUAUUUUGGUAAUUUUACAAAUUGAGGGUAUUUUAGUAAUUUCUCAAACCAGUGGUAUUUUGGUAAUUUUAUCCUACAAGGGUAUUUUAGUAAUUUCACAAUCGAGGAUAAAAUAGAAAUUUUGUAAAUUGAGGGUAAAAUGGUAAUUUUGUAAAUCGAGGGUAAAACGAUAAUUCUAUAAGUCGAGGGUACUUUGGUAAUUUUACAAGUCGAGGAUAUUUCAGUAAUUUGGUAAACUAAAGUAUUCUAAACAUGGAUAACAAUACUAAUGGCCCUAAAGCCCAUUCUCGGCCCAAAUGGGCCCACACGUUCGUGUGGCCCUUUUAACCCAAAUCUAGCCACAAAUAUGAGAUUCACCUAGCCUAGUCCAAUAUUUACUACACAAUCAAACAACUUAUCCAAUUGGGCCCGUAGGCCCAUUGGGCCCACAUAGCCCCUUUCGGCCUAUCGCCGCCCGAAGUAGCCAUCCUACAGCUAGAGUAGUGAGAAAUACACACCUGAUAGGAGACUGGAGUUAAUCCACGCUCCGAGCACUCUUAGCCGAC
rnacentral:lncRNA from 1 species